AGUGAACGCUGGCGGUAGGCCUAACACAUGCAAGUCGAACGGCAGCACAGUAAGAGCUUGCUCUUACGGGUGGCGAGUGGCGGACGGGUGAGGAAUACAUCGGAAUCUACUUUUUCGUGGGGGAUAACGUAGGGAAACUUACGCUAAUACCGCAUACGACCUACGGGUGAAAGCAGGGGAUCUUCGGACCUUGCGCGAUUGAAUGAGCCGAUGUCGGAUUAGCUAGUUGGCGGGGUAAGGGCCCACCAAGGCGACGAUCCGUAGCUGGUCUGAGAGGAUGAUCAGCCACACUGGAACUGAGACACGGUCCAGACUCCUACGGGAGGCAGCAGUGGGGAAUAUUGGACAAUGGGCGCAAGCCUGAUCCAGCCAUGCCGCGUGGGUGAAGAAGGCCUUCGGAUCGUAAAGCCCUUUUGUUGGGAAAGAACAGCAGCAGGUUAAUCCCCCGCUGUUUUGACGGUACCUAAUCAAUAAGCAACGGCUAACUUCGUG
rnacentral:rRNA from 1 species